GUGAGUUAAAAGCGUAAGUCGCUUUGGAUAAAAGCGUCUGCUAAAUGACCUGUA
rfam:Gasterosteus aculeatus cont1.004637, whole genome shotgun sequence.